rnacentral:rRNA from 1 species
GACGAACGCUGGCGGCGUGCUUAACACAUGCAAGUCGAACGGAAGGGCCCUGCUUUUGUGGGGUGCUCGAGUGGCGAACGGGUGAGUAACACGUGAGUAACCUGCCCUUGACUUUGUGAUAACUUCAGGAAACUGGGGCUAAUACCGGAUAGGAGCUCCUGCUGCAUGGUGGGGGUUGGAAAGUUUCGGCGGUUGGGGAUGGACUCGCGGCUUAUCAGCUUGUUGGUGGGGUAGUGGCUUACCAAGGCUUUGACGGGUAGCCGGCCUGAGAGGGUGACCGGCCACAUUGGGACUGAGAUACGGCCCAGACUCCUACGGGAGGCAGCAGUGGGGAAUAUUGCACAAUGGGCGGAAGCCUGAUGCAGCAACGCCGCGUGCGGGAUGACGGCCUUCGGGUUGUAAACCGCUUUCGCCUGUGACGAAGCGUGAGUGACGGUAAUGGGUAAAGAAGCACCGGCUAACUACGUG